rnacentral:rRNA from 1 species
UGGCUGUCGUCAGCUCGUGUUGUGAAAUGUUGGGUUAAGUCCCGCAACGAGCGCAACCCUUAUCCUUUGUUGCCAGCGGUUAGGCCGGGAACUCAAAGGAGACUGCCAGUGAUAAACUGGAGGAAGGUGGGGAUGACGUCAAGUCAUCAUGGCCCUUACGACCAGGGCUACACACGUGCUACAAUGGCGCAUACAAAGAGAAGCGACCUCGCGAGAGCAAGCGGACCUCAUAAAGUGCGUCGUAGUCCGGAUUGGAGUCUGCAACUCGACUCCAUGAAGUCGGAAUCGCUAGUAAUCGUGGAUCAGAAUGCCACGGUGAAUACGUUCCCGGGCCUUGUACACACCGCCCGUCACACCAUGGGAGUGGGUUGCAAAAGAAGUAGGUAGCUUAACCUUCGGGAGGGCGCUUACCACUUUGUGAUUCAUGACUGGGGUGAAGUCGUAACAAGGUAACCGUAGGGGAACCUGCGGUUGGAUCACCUCCUUACCUUAAAGAA